CAAGACAAACCAAACUUAACCCUAACCCAUCUCUCAACCUCAAACCUUCAGAUCCUACCAAACUCAGGUUUUCCGUCAAAACCACAAAACCACCACCGUCAUCUUCUUCUUCUUCUUCGACCUUCGCCGAACAACCAUCGCAAAAACCAUUUCUCUCUUUCUUUUCCUCUGUCUUUUGCCUUCUCUGUCUCGCCGCCAGCUACCAUCCAGUGCCACCGCGACCAUCUUCUUCCCCUCCUCACAACCUUGCACUGUGGCUCUCUAGCUCGCCCCUGCCUCCCUCAUUCCCAGUCACAGAAUCAGAAUAUAGCCACUCUAGUUCCAGCGAGUUCAGACGCAGCAGCGGCUGGUCACUGCCACUACACCCCUCUCUCCUGAGUUCUUGCUCUAUUCUUCGACUCAGAGCUAUGAUGAUAAAGGGUCUGUCAUAGAUGUUGUUGUUUGGCAUGAUAGAGAGGUCUAGAAGGUUGCUCUUGACACAAAGUAUUGAGGAUGAUCCAGAAUGUGGGAAGCUUGCUAACUUUGUACCCUUAACUAAUUACAGGUUAUUGUUUUCCAUGGAGAUUGUGACAACUGCAGCUGAACUUGGGAUAAAGUUAAACACUACCAUAGUUGAAGAAUCUGAACAAAUGAAAACAAAACUGGUUUACAACCCAGAGCUGAAUUUUUUGUGGACCAGGACAUGGAAUUAGCAUUAGGAGCCUUGGGGAAGACAAUUCAACUAGCAUAAUGAAGAAAGUGAUUUUAGAUACAGCAAUUAUUAAGGAUACUACUAAUGGUGUCAGGAUUAAGACUUAGCAGGUAUAUCUCUAUUGCCGAAAUUAUAGAUCUCUCAUCAUUAGUUUCUAAGUCUCUUGUCCAAGUGAUAGAAAUACAGAAUGUAUAAGAAGAAUUUUCAAUUGAGGAAUAAAAGGUUUGGCGGUGGUUCCAGAAAUUAUGUGAAGAGAUGAGUCAUCACCCAUGAUGAUCUUAUUGGUCAUUAUAUCAAGUAAAUUUUCUGUACUUUUUGAUCAAUUGAACCAUGUUUCAUUCUUACAUUAUUAAGUAGUAGUGCGUUGUUUGUUAAGUUUUAAUUUAAUUUAUAUAUUAUAUUUUUUCUAAGAUAGAGCAGUAUUUUACCCUUAGAAAGGAUAUACACCAGACUAGAGAUCUUGUGGAGAUCACUUAGGUUAUUUUGGGCUACUCUUGUUAUUGAAUCUUCAGGAGUUUUCAUAAAAGUAGAGAAGGUUUCAUCACAUUUAAAGGUUAAUAUUUUUACUUACCUUUGUAUUUCACUUUGCUAG